AUUGAACGCUGGCGGCAUGCUUUACACAUGCAAGUCGAACGGUAACAGGCCGCAAGGUGCUGACGAGUGGCGAACGGGUGAGUAAUGCAUCGGAACGUGCCCAGUCGUGGGGGAUAACUACUCGAAAGAGUAGCUAAUACCUCAUACGAUCUAUGGAUGAAAGCGGGGGACCGUAAGGCCUCGCGCGAUUGGAGCGGCCGAUGUCAGAUUAGGUAGUUGGUGGGGUAAAGGCUCACCAAGCCAACGAUCUGUAGCUGGUCUGAGAGGACGACCAGCCACACUGGGACUGAGACACGGCCCAGACUCCUACGGGAGGCAGCAGUGGGGAAUUUUGGACAAUGGGCGAAAGCCUGAUCCAGCAAUGCCGCGUGCAGGAAGAAGGCCUUCGGGUUGUAAACUGCUUUUGUACGGAACGAAACGGCUCUGGUUAAUACCCGGGGCUAAUGACGGUACCGUAAGAAUAAGCACCGGCUAACUACGUG
rnacentral:rRNA from 1 species